rnacentral:rRNA from 1 species
AGCAGCCGCGGUAAUUCCAGCUCCAAUAGCGUAUAUUAAAGUUGUUGCAGUUAAAAAGCUCGUAGUUGAAUUUCGGGAUUGACACAUCGGUCGUGCCUUAAGGGGUAUGAACUGGUGUAGUCAAUUUCUCACCUUCUGGAGAACCGCGAUGCCCUUAAUUGGGUGUCGCGGGGAACCAGGACCUUUACUUUGAAAAAAUUAGAGUGUUUAAAGCAGGCAUUUUGCUUGAAUACAUUAGCAUGGAAUAAUAAAAUAGGACGGCAUGAUUCUAUUUUGUUGGUUUCUAGGAUCACCGUAAUGAUUAAUAGGGAUAGUUGGGGGCAUUAGUAUUCAAUUGUCAGAGGUGAAAUUCCUGGAUUUAUUGAAGACUAACUACUGCGAAAGCAUUUGCCAAGGAUGUUUUCAUUAAUCAAGAACGAAAGUUAGGGGAUCGAAGACGAUCAGAUACCG